rnacentral:rRNA from 1 species
UGGGGAAUAUUGGACAAUGGGCGCAAGCCUGAUCCAGCCAUGCCGCGUGAGUGAUGAAGGCCUUAGGGUUGUAAAGCUCUUUUGUCCGGGAAGAUAAUGACUGUACCGGAAGAAUAAGCCCCGGCUAACUUCGUGCCAGCAGCCGCGGUAAUACGAAGGGGGCUAGCGUUGCUCGGAAUCACUGGGCGUAAAGGGCGCGUAGGCGGACUCUUAAGUCGGGGGUGAAAGCCCAGGGCUCAACCCUGGAAUUGCCUUCGAUACUGGGAGUCUUGAGUUCGGAAGAGGUUGGUGGAACUGCGAGUGUAGAGGUGAAAUUCGUAGAUAUUCGCAAGAACACCAGUGGCGAAGGCGGCCAACUGGUCCGAUACUGACGCUGAGGCGCGAAAGCGUGGGGAGCAAACAGGAUU